CGAAGAACACGUUUCGCUCGUUAAGGAGUACAGAGGUAAAGUUGAGAAUGAGUUAACGGAGGUUUGUGCUGGUAUACUCAAGUUGCUUGAGUCGAAUCUCGUGCCGUCUGCUUCUACGGGUGAAUCGAGGGUGUUUUACCUCAAAAUGAAAGGUGAUUAUUACCGGUAUCUUGCGGAGUUUAAGGUUGGAGAUGAGCGGAAGCAGGCUGCUGAAGACACUAUGAAUUCUUAUAAGGCUGCUCAGGUACUGUUUUAGUUGACUUUUUUCUAGGUUUUGAGUUUGUGCUGUUUACUGUUCUUCAGAUUAGGGAAAAUUAAGUCUCGGAUGUUUUAAUUACUUGUUUUGAUAGUAGGAUUAUCGUAUAGAUCGUGAAGUAAAUGUAGAAAAUUGUAGCUAGAUUUCGCAAGAACGAAGAACACGUGUCGCUCGUUAAGGAGUACAGAGGUAAAGUCGAGAAUGAGUUAACGGAGGUUUGUGCUGGUAUACUCAAGUUGCUUGAGUCGAAUCUCGUGCCGUCUGCUUCUACGGGUGAAUCGAGGGUGUUUUACCUCAAAAUGAAAGGUGAUUAUUACCGGUAUCUUGCGGAGUUUAAGGUUGGAGAUGAGCGGAAGCAAGCUGCUGAAGACACUAUGAAUUCUUACAAGGCUGCUCAGGUACUGUUUUAGUUGACCUUUUGCUAGGUUCUGAGUUUGUGCUUUUUACUGUUCUUCAGAUUAGAGCAAAUUAAGUCUCGGAUGUUUUAUUACUUGUUGUGAUAGUAGGAUUAUCGUAUAGAUCGUGAAGUAGAUGUAGAAAACUGUAGCUAGAUUUCGACUUGAACAUAAAGAACUAAUUUUAGCCAUUCUGAUCUGGAUUUUCUGUAUUUGUGUUGAGAUUGUUGUGGAGAAUGUUAAAUAGGGUUUGAUUUUUCUAUUGCUGUUUAGUUUUUUCUGUUACAAAUAUAGUAACCUAACUAAUAUGGAUAAAAUUGUGAAAAAUGAAUUGCAUCCAGGUGUUCCUAGUUACUUGGUGAUAGCAGGAUUAGUGUUGAGAUGGCAAUAAUGCAUCUUGAAAUUGCAGUUAGAGUUCAAUAUGGAUUGUAAAAAUUUAGCCAUUGUGAUCUGGAUUUAGUUCUUUUGAGUUGAGAUUUUGGUGUAGAUUCUUAUAUUGGUGUGUAAGUUUCGAUUUUUCUGUUGCACUUCUUUUUUCCAUUAUAGCUUUUACUAAAAUGAUAGGUGGCGUCAAGAUGAGUGUUUAAGCUGCAUCUUCAGUUGAUUGUUUCAUUGCAUUGCCAUCUUUGACCAUUGAACGACAACUAAGAAUCUUAUAAAAAAUAUUACAACAACUAAGAGGACAAGAAGGGACAAAGCUUUGUGGUCUGCAGAUUGUAGCCUUACUCUGUUUUGUUCCGAGAUAUCGCUUUUCUGGUGUGGUGUUUCAUAUUUGUAUCAGCUGAAGUGUCAUUCCCAUCCAAGAAGGCUCUCUCAACACCAAAUUGUCUUUAUGCUCGUUUGAAAUUAUAGAUUGGACUGAAAUUAUAAGAAGUCCUUGCUGUGCAAAGUUACGAGAUCAGUUGUAAUGUUAGUGAAUAUCCAAGGAUAUGCACAUUGGUUAGGCUUAAUCCAGUUUAGCUUUAGUUGCAUCAUUGAUAUAGUUAGAAAUCCUCUAGGUUCAAUUUUCUUGUGUGAGAUUAGGUGUCUGAAUAACAAUAACUUCACAUGCAAAGGCUUUCUUAUUAUGCUGCAGGUGUUUAGAAACUGUAUAGAGAACAUUCAGGUGAUUUAACCUGGAGUUCUCAUUUCUCGCUUUGGCUCCAUCUGGCUCUUGAUGAACUGUUAAUUUUCGAAAAAUGUUAGUCAGGCAUGCGUGUGUUUAUCGGUUCUACAGUUGGUCAAGUCUUGAAUGUUCAUAUGUUUGCAGUUGGUGUUGUAUGCAAAGUUCCAUCAUAUGGUUGG
rnacentral:lncRNA from 1 species